GCGGUCGUGGCGGAAUUGGUAGACGCGCAGCGUUGAGGUCGCUGUUCUUUAAUCGGAGUGGGGGUUCGAGUCCCCCCGACCGCA
rnacentral:tRNA from 2 species